rnacentral:rRNA from 1 species
GACGAACGCUGGCGGCGUGCUUAACACAUGCAAGUCGAACGCUGAAGCCCAGCUUGCUGGGUGGAUGAGUGGCGAACGGGUGAGUAACACGUGAGUAACCUGCCCCCUUCUUUGGGAUAACGCCCGGAAACGGGUGCUAAUACUGGAUAUUCACUGGCCUUCGCAUGGGGGUUGGUGGAAAGGUUUUUUCUGGUGGGGGAUGGGCUCGCGGCCUAUCAGCUUGUUGGUGGGGUGAUGGCCUACCAAGGCUUUGACGGGUAGCCGGCCUGAGAGGGUGACCGGUCACAUUGGGACUGAGAUACGGCCCAGACUCCUACGGGAGGCAGCAGUGGGGAAUAUUGCACAAUGGGCGAAAGCCUGAUGCAGCGACGCCGCGUGAGGGAUGACGGCCUUCGGGUUGUAAACCUCUUUCGCUCAUGGUCAAGCCGCAGCUUUGGGUUGUGGUGAGGGUAGUGGGUAAAGAAGCGCCGGCUAACUACGUGCCAGCAGCCGCGGUAAUACGUAGGGCGCGAGCGUUGUCCGGAAUUAUUGGGCGUAAAGGGCUUGUAGGCGGUUGGUCGCGUCUGCCGUGAAAUCCUCUGGCUUAACUGGGGGCGUGCGGUGGGUACGGGCUGACUUGAGUGCGGUAGGGGGAGACUGGGACUCCUGGUGUAACGGUGGAAUGCGCACAUAUCAGGAAGAACACCCUUGGCGAAGGCGGGUCUCUGGGGCGUUACUGACGCUGGGAGCGAAAGCGUGGGGAAGCAACAAGG